AGGGGAAGGGGCAAAAGUUUCAUCUCCUUCCUCAGAGUACAAACGAAGCAACCAUGGAUCGAUUGAGAGAAACGUCAAUGAGCUGGAGAGACAUCAAAGUCUUCAAAUUCAGUAUCCAACUCCACUCCAUAACCUAGAAGUUGUCGAGCUUAAGGUGUUUUCACCUAAGACAUUCCAAAUCUCACGAAUGCCAUAAAAACAAUCUUAAUGAAGACUUCUUCCACUCAACAAUAGCAGAUCUGUACCAAAGCUUCAGCUGCAAGCAUGCCACUCCAAUACUUGCUUAUGCCGAGAUUUCCAACAGGAUAAGUAUUUGUUCCUCUCGAUCCAUUUCGCCCUUGUUGAUUUCCUUUUGAUUGCUUUCAUGCCCUCAUCCAUCCAUUUUUCCAGAACAAUGUUUCGCCAUCCUCCUCGACUCUCAACAGAUUAAGCUUAAAUAGCUUAUACCACUGCUUGAAAUUCAAAAAAAAUAGAAAUAAGCAAGAGAGAGACUAUGCAGGGAGAGGAGAGACGCAAGGGAGAGAUGAUUGAAAAAAGAGGAGAGAGGAAAGCGAGAUUUCAAAGAGAGGUGAGAGAGAGGAUGAGAGGAGAUAUGUAAGACCAUCUCCAACCCAUCUCUAUUUUACCCUCCAUUCUCUAUAUUUGAAGGGUAAAAAUAGAGAAUAUCCUCUCCAACUCAUCUUUAUAUUACUCUCUAUUCCUAUUUAUAGAUAUGUGAAUAAUAGUUC